rnacentral:lncRNA from 1 species
GCUCACUCUGAAGGCCUGUUUCCUAGGCUACACACGAGGGACUUAUUCAUUAUCCUUCCGCCUAGGGGAAAAUCCCCAGACCAUGGGCAGAGAGUGCCGCGUGCACACGUGUGUAGACUUACCCCGCUCGUCACGGUUAAUCUGCCAAGAAGUCACUGGUGAUGGUGGCCGUCUACCCAGAGUGGCACUUAGGGUCUGACCAAAGGGAUCUACAGUGAGUUCCCAGUGGAAGGGCAAGGGAUGACGUGGUUAUCAUGAGAUGUAAUUUACCAUCUAAACUAGGAUAUCCUUGGGAGUAAA